GAUAAACGCUGGCGGCGCACAUAAGACAUGCAAGUUGAACGGACUUAAUCGAAAUAUUUAUCUUUUGAAGCGGUUAGUGGCGGACUGGUGAGUAACGCGUAAGGAACCUGCCUAUUAGAGGGGAAUAACAGUGAGAAAUCAUUGCUAAUACCGCAUAUGCCAUAGAUAUCACAUGAUAACAGUGGGAAAGGAGCAAUCCGCUAAUAGAUGGCCUUGCGUCUGAUUAGAUAGUUGGUGGGGUAACGGCCUACCAGGUCGACGAUCAGUAGCCGGACUGAGAGGUUGAACGGCCACAUUGGGACUGAGAUACGGCCCAGACUCCUACGGGAGGCAGCAGUCGGGAAUAUUGCGCAAUGGAGGAAACUCUGACGCAGUGACGCCGCGUAUAGGAAGAAGGUUUUCGGAUUGUAAACUAUUGUCGUUAGGGAAGAGAAAGGACAGUACCUAAGGAGGAAGCUCCGGCUAACUACGUG
rnacentral:rRNA from 1 species